CGGACGGGUGAGUAAUGCCUAGGAAAUUGCCCUGAUGUGGGGGAUAACCAUUGGAAACGAUGGCUAAUACCGCAUAAUACCUACGGGUCAAAGAGGGGGACCUUCGGGCCUCUCGCGUCAGGAUAUGCCUAGGUGGGAUUAGCUAGUUGGUGAGGUAAUGGCUCACCAAGGCGACGAUCCCUAGCUGGUCUGAGAGGAUGAUCAGCCACACUGGAACUGAGACACGGUCCAGACUCCUACGGGAGGCAGCAGUGGGGAAUAUUGCACAAUGGGCGCAAGCCUGAUGCAGCCAUGCCGCGUGUGUGAAGAAGGCCUUCGGGUUGUAAAGCACUUUCAGUCGUGAGGAAGGUAGUGUAGUUAAUAGCUGCAUUAUUUGACGUUAGCGACAGAAGAAGCACCGGCUAACUCCGUGCCAGCAGCCGCGGUAAUACGGAGGGUGCGAGCGUUAAUCGGAAUUACUGGGCGUAAA
rnacentral:rRNA from 1 species